rnacentral:tRNA from 1 species
CCAUAGCUCAGUAGGACAGAGCAACGGCCUUCUAAGCCGUGGGUCGGGGGUUCGAAUCCCUCUGGG